rnacentral:rRNA from 1 species
UGUGGUACUCAUACUAGUGAUGGAUAUACCUGUUCCCAUACCGAACACAGAAGUCAAGCAUCAUUAGGCCGAAGGUAGUAAAAAAUUAGAAUAGGUUGUGCCACUU